rnacentral:rRNA from 1 species
GUGCCAGCCGCCGCGGUAAGACGAACCGUGCGAACGUUGUUCGGAAUCACUGGGCUUAAAGGGCGCGUAGGCGGUCGAUCAAGUCCGGGGUGAAAUCCUGCAGCUUAACUGUAGAAGUGCCUUGGAUACUGAUCGGCUCGAGGGAGGUAGGGGUCUGUGGAACUUCUGGUGGAGCGGUGAAAUGCGUUGAUAUCAGAAGGAACGCCGGUGGCGAAAGCGGCAGACUGGACCUCUUCUAACGCUGAGGCGCGAAAGCUAGGGGAGCAAACGGGAUUAGAAACCCGAGUAGUCC